AAACAUUUUAAGUGGAAUGAUACAGAGAAGAUUAGCCUGGCCCCUCUGUAAGCAUGACACACAAAUUUGAAGCAUUCCAUUUAAAA
ensembl:snRNA U6 U6 spliceosomal RNA